rnacentral:lncRNA from 1 species
AGCAUUAAUCUUAUGGGAAAUAUCAGCCAUGUUGAGUUUCUUAUCCACCAUCAUUUCUCUGUUUAACUCUAUGCGAAGCAACCACGGAGAGAUCUUGUCGGGGUCAACAUCAUCAUCUGGCAUCUCAAAGUAGGACGUCACAAAUUCAACAUCUUCCUCAAUAAUAGUGCUCUUAGGAUCUGGAUCGUACCAUACCUCUGUUGCUUGUGUUACACUCCGCAAGGUUGUAUACUCCAGAGCGCACUGGACAUUUUUGGCCUUCUCCUUAGUUUUGCUUACACCAGGCUUCAAGUAUACCGAGAGNAGGUAAUCUGUUUCUGCAUACACAGCAGCAUCAAGAAGAAUGUCCACUGUUCUCAAAGGAGCAUCUCAUCAUGGGGCCAGUAUCGUUGCGAUUGAUACCAUGACGGGUGAUGGCCAUCAAGUGACCACGAUAUGUCAUGGUAUCACACAAUAUAGCCAAAAUGUCUAUAGUUCACGUAAGACCCAUCAAAUGAUAUGACAACACGCAACUCAUCCAGCAAGGCUUUGCGAACUGCCUCAAUGCCAAGAACUUCAAUAACUUCAAUCAAAUGAUUGCUUGUUGUCCUACUUGCAUCUACAUCUUCAUGGCAAAUUACAGCUAAAAGAUUAACACCUUCGGUGUCAAGCAUCCACUCAUUCUCAGCCUUGAAGCCUUCAUUUUCAUCAAACUUAUUUACCUUGCCAUUCUUUAUGAACACCUUAUUGAUAUCUGGUAUGCCUCGAAGAGCCAUUUCUGUAAGCAUGUUACCCUCUAAUCUUUUUGUAGGAAGACAUCAUCCUCAGCAGAUUCAUCAUUCAACUCACCUUUAGGGGCUUCAUCAUUCAUAAUACGAAUACGAAGGAUAAGCUUUUCAGCAUUAUCAUCAUUAAAUAUGCACGUUAGAUCACUAUCAAAUUCAGCAUUAAUCUUAUGGGAAAUAUCAGCCAUGUUGAGUUUCUUAUCCACCAUCAUUUCUCUGUUUAACUCUAUGCGAAGCAACCACGGAGAGAUCUUGUCGGGGUCAACAUCAUCAUCUGGCAUCUCAAAGUAGGACGUCACAAAUUCAACAUCUUCCUCAAUAAUAGUGCUCUUAGGAUCUGGAUCGUACCAUACCUCUGUUGCUUGUGUUACACUCCGCAAGGUUGUAUACUCCAGAGCGCACUGGACAUUUUUGGCCUUCUCCUUAGUUUUGCUUACACCAGGCUUCAAGUAUACCGAGAGAGAGGGUGUUUUAAUUUUCUUAGCAACAUUAAUAAUCUCCCUCAACCUUGGAACACCUAAAGUUAACAAUUCUUGGCACUCACACCAGCAUAGUGAAAUGUAUUGAGGGUCAUCUGUGUAGCAGGUUCACCAAUGGAUUGUGCAGCAACACAUCCUAUCAUUUCACCAGCAGCAACAAGUGACUGAAGAAAACGGGAUUCUAUCUCGCCAACUACCCAGUCAAAAGCCUCACGGGUAAGUCUGUACUCCUUCAGGACCCUUUUACUUGCUAAAGCACUACGAAGCAAUAUAUUGAAGAAAAGAGUAGCAUUCUUCUGUGCUUCCAAACUCAGAUAAUCAUCACCAACAACCACCUUAAGCCUUUCUUGUAACUUAUCAACAGCUUCUACAAUCUCCAUUGGAUGCAUAUCAGACGGUCUCCGAAAAUCAACUCUAAAGGUCUUCUGUGCAUUCAAAACAAGCCUCUUGAUGUUGACAGGGAGGGGCCAAGAAUUGUCACCCGUGGUGGCAAUCUCUGUUCCAAGUUGAUACCUAUCGGCUUCAAGUUUCUGAACCUCUGCAUCAAACACACUGCGGAUUUCACGAAUCGUUUUCAGAUCUUCCACAGCUUCAGGUAACAUAUAAUUAGGAUUCCAGUUUGGGUGAUCAAUCUCAUAUUUGUACAUGUCAUUGAAAUCCGAUCUCUUCAACUUCAGUGAUUCCAAAGGCUGUGAUUCAAUCCAAACUGCAUCCAUACCAUCUUCCCCGUACAGAAACUGAAUCACAUCACCUAACGAAUUCCUAACAGUCCCAUCAUACUUAACCAUGAUAUCUUCCAUAGCCUUCACCAAUCGCCUCUGAAUAUAUCCAGUCUCAGAAGUUUUCACUGCAGUGUCAAUAAGACCUUCCCUACCACCCAUGGCAUGGAAAAAGAACUCUUGAGGAGACAAUCCUCGAAGAUAUGAGUUCUCCACAAAACCACGACUCUCUGGACCAUAAUCAUCUUUGGUGAAGUGUGGAAGUGUGCGAUCCACAAAACCAAAAGGAAUUCGCUUGCCUUCAACAUUCUGCUGACCCACACAUGCAGUCAUCUGAGAAAUAUUGAUGAAACUUCCCUUAGACCCUGCAGUGACCAUAGCUUUGAGGUUGUUACUUUCUGCCAAGCUCUUCUGAGCACUGCUUCCAGCAUCAUCACGAGCCUUAUUCAACACCUGAAGGCACAAAACAUAUAUAAGGGAAUCACCAGGCUGCAGCAAGGAAAUCAAAAUUUUUAACAAACCUGGUUAACUCUGUUCUCGAACGAUUCCAUCAUUGUUCUUCCUGGCUCAGCUUCCAAUUGCUUUUCUUGUGCAGCCCUGAUAAGUUCAUUCACCUCAUUCUUAGCUUUGUUAAUAGUUUCAGAGAUCUUCGUCAUUGUAUCAUGAUCAGCAAUUGUAUCUCCAAUUCCCAUGCUAAAAGCGUUCUGCAAAAGCCAAUAAUUGACCAGCCAUUGUGUAUGUCCCAAAAAUUUCCGAGCUGCAUCUGGACCGACUUCUUCCCUGAGACCAGUAUACAUUAUAUUAAACACAUAAAUAUGAAUAAAGAAUCUUUCGGGCUUUCAGUUCAUUAUUAUAAUAUUUAUUACUCCUUGUUUCAUGUGCCAUAUCAUAUGUUUUGAUGUCACAAAUGCUAUAAUAUUCACACAGAAGAGCUACUAGAGUGGAGGAAGACUGAUAUAUGCAAAAGCUAAAUUGUUAAAGAGUACAGAAAUUUUCAAUAAGAUACUCAUGUAGUUUUAAACUUCUGAAGAAAAUUAAUCUUCUCUUCUACAAAUUCCGAUGGAGUAAGCAAAGGAACACUUUCUUGAAAUGGCAUUAGUUUUAUUGAUAUCUAUAAUGAGUGCAAGCAUGGAGAUUGAUAAAGUGUUUUGUCUGCAAAGAAACAGUACCCAUUUUUUUGUGCCAAAAGGAGAAUCUUUUUGCUAGUGAAAAGAGAGGGUAUUUCAUUGGUAACUCAAGCAAGUUCUUUUGAAAGUAUUACUUCUUCAAUCAACAUAUUGCGAGUUCUGACUCAUUUGCGAGAUCCUAGAAUAUAUAAAUAAAAGACACCAACUUCAUUUAAAGUAUUUGCAUACAUAUGCUCCCAAUCCCCAUUGCCCAUAGAGCAAUGGACCAAUUUAAUACAACAUGAAUUCUUCAGAAGAUAAAAGUGAAAGUCAUGCUUUUGCUCUUAAAUUUAAGGUUGAACGAAAAAUGUGACCCGCAAACAGCCCCAUACCUCCAUUUUACCCAACUUUCCACUUAUUACAUUUUGCUACUAGAUACUUCAGGUAUGUUACCCGCAAUCAGCCCCAAUUCAUAAUAUGGAUAAGUUGGGUGGGCGUUUAGGAGACAAUAGUUUCCUUUCAAAACCCACCAAAUGCAGAAAUGGUACUGCAAAAAUUCCAGAAAGAACGUACCAAAUAACAUGUAUGAGACUUCCACUAGAUGACCCGAGUGUUUUCUUGCAUAGGGUGCCUGAAAGUAACUCCCCUUUUUCUAUCCGUACUUGAGUAUCCCCAGGAGUAAUAAAUCCUUUUUCAGUUUCUUGAUGCCAUGAAGAAUACCUUAAUAGAUUUAUCUGUCUUGGAAUGAUUAAAUUAAAUACUUGUUUCCCAGUCCAAAGAGGCUUAGGUUUCAGAAUUGUUGGAGCAGGUACUUUGCCAUCAAAAUCCUCCCACCACAUAAGGAUGUUCAUAAAAACAUCCUGCGAACAAUACAGACAGCGAUAUCAGAUUGAAUGUGGACACUUACCUAAAAAUUACAUAAUGAUGACAGAAAAUCAAAUGUUACCUUGUCAAUAAAAGUAUCUCUCUUAGUGAUUUUGCGACAUCCUAGUAGUGUAUCCUGCACAAUACCCAUUACAGGUCGAUUUGAUUGAGGUGACACGAUGCAUUUUGGAACCAUCAUUAAUUCCAGAACUUCGGCUCUAGUUUCAAAUGACUGGGGCACGUGCAUAUUCAUUUCAUCUCCAUCAAAAUCAGCAUUGUAGGGUGAGGUAACAGACAGAUUUAAGCGGAAUGUUGAAUAUGGCAUAAUCUUGAUUCUGUGGCCCAUAAUGGACAUCUUAUGGAGACUCGGUUGCCGAUUGAACAGGACAAAGUCUCCAUCAUUUAAAUGUCUCUCAACCUGUACCAUCAAAUAAUAGGAAUCAGGUGUCAAAAGGAAUCCAAUGCUUGAUCAUUCUCAAUUAUAUAGCUGGGAGUCUCACCUUAUAUCCAAGUUCUAGAUGCUGAUCACUACUCUUUUUCAAGUACCGGAGAUCAAGCCUCUGUCCAUCAUCCCUAAUAAUAUAUUUUGCGCCAGUUUUACCAGGAGGGGGAUGAGGUCCAUAUUCCACAAGCUCUUUCAAUCUAUUUUCAAGGUCAAUAUCUGGUUAACAAGAAUAACCAAAAAGUAUAGAGGGAUCACUAUCAAGAAAUAUGGUAAGAGUGCCUAACCUUUCGAUGUUAUAUGGAGUUACAGUUUCAGGAUAUGUAAGAUUUAAGGCAAUACUCCAAGGCACACCCAGCUGGUCGAUGUUGAUUGUUGGGUCAGGUGUAAUCACAGUCCGAGCCGAAAAAUCUACUCGCUUACCCAUCAAGUUACCUCUGAUCCUACCAUCUUUUGCCUUAAGCCUGCUACAUAUUGAUUUAAUGGGUCUGCCAGAUCUUUGGGUAGCCUGAUGUAUACAAGGAUACUUCACUUGUUAGAUAAAUGAUGUUCCAGGAACUGCAUCCACAGUCUCAAUAUACUGAAAUAAUAUAACAUACUCUUGGUUGACCAGGUAAAUCGUUAUCAAAGUAUGUAGCCACAUGGAACUGCAGCAACUGUGCAAACUCAGAGAUGAUGUGUGCAGGAGCCCCAUUCCGCUCCUGCCUCUUUAAGUUCUCAUUAUGCCUAAUGAUCAUGGCCAGUUGAUGAGUUAAAUCAUCCUGCAUAAAUUGAUUCAAUUAUUAGAUUCUCCUGCAACUUAAAAGCAGCAAUCCGAGGAACAUGCAAUUGAUUGACUUGAUCAGUUUGCAGUGAACAGAACCCGAUACACUUAUCUGACCUAAAGGAACAAUUAGGGGUAAUCUAAACACCCAUGACAUUGUAGAGAUCAAAAGGAGAAGUCAUGCCUCACUCCGAGAAGAAGUAUCCAUCAUUACAGAAGGCCUAACUGGAGGAGGAGGGAUUGGAAGAACUUGAAGAAUCAUCCAGUCAGGGCGAGCAUAUUUUGGAUUCAAGCCCAACAACUGACAAUCUUCAUCAGUAAUUCUCUUCAGUAUGCUGAGCACCUGAAACAAAAAGGAAAUAGAGAUUGUUGGGAUUAGCGCAUAAAUCAAUCUAUCACAUUAUCCAGGCUGGAAAAAAAAGUUUGAAUCCCUAUUCUCUGGCAAUUUAUGAUAUAUGAUACCUUCUCUGCAGAGAGAAGUUGUUUUCGUUCAACAGGUUCAGGCAUCUGGUCCUGGUCAUCACUUUUCUUCUUCUGAAUCUUGUAUUCAGCAACCAUUUUCAUCCCAUCUAUAGAAAUCUUUGGCUGCUGAGCACCGCAUCCACCCCUAGACUUCUUCACAGGUUCUUCCGAAUCUUGACCUCGCACAUCGAUCUCAUCACCUCCUUCACAUUUGGAUUUGUUUUUGCAGGCAUCUAAUAUCUUCUUUAAUCUAUUCUUAGGGUUUCUAAUUCUCAUUGCUUGCUUGAACUUGGGAUCGUCCUAGAAAAAUUAACAAGGGAUCAAAAUACAUUGCAAAAGAAAACGAUUGUUCCAACUUCCAAGUAACUUUAUUUCCAUUUGAAGUAUAAUAUUCAGGCAAUAAUGAAAAUAACUAACUUUUACAACAGCAACACUCCUAGGAGAUGCAUCCAGAUGAUGAAAUACCUCAAACUGCUUCUAUCUUACCAAUAUGCAUUUCUAUAAAAGUAACACAAUUAUUGAAGACAUAACAGAACCUAGAAGCCUAAAACUGGAUCGUUGCUAGUCAUAAGUCUUACUAUCCAGUCACUCUUGCAAGUAAUAAGAAUGUUACAAUUAAAUCAGUUGCCCAGUUCAGGAUGGUCAUGAAUAAGACAGAAGUCUGACCCUCCUAGUAUACGAACAUAUACAUGAAAUAAGCAUUUUCCGUGAAUCCAGCAUAUGUUAUACACUUCUGAAAAAUUCAGUCUGCUACUCAGGCCUCACAACAGCGGAAUCAAUAGUCAUACCCAAUAUGAACCAAGUGAGCAUGACUGUACAAAUUCAUACUACUUAAACCGAAAACGUCCAUAACUUCAAUCUAACUACUCGGGAAAUGUACAAUACCUCAUCCGCUAAAAUCUUAGAGCAAUUGAAGCAGACACUGCGGAGAAUACUGAGCACAGUCUUCAUGAAGCCAAUGUGAAACAUAGGUUUGGCGAGCUCAAGGUGACCGAAGUGACCGGGGCAGUCAGCCAUGUUCGCCAUACAAGUCUCGCACUUCAUCUUCCGAUCAAUCGUCCCCAGACGCGGGUCGCUCAAACCACCGAUCUUCGGCUUGCCUCUUUCCGUCGUCUCGCUGUGCUCUAUAUGCACAACAGACAUUUGUCUCUACAAAACACACCAUAAAACAAUAGACCAUCAUUUCCAACUCAAUCACACACUCAAUGCCGAAACUGAAAGUUCAAAACAUUCAAAGAAGUGAGAAUUACGAUCUCAUCGGGGCUGAGAAUGCCGAAUUGGACGACGCGGACUUUCGCGACCUCUGCCGGCGAGAAGGGGAACCGCAGAUCCAUUGCGACACCGGAGAUUCUACCCUAGGGUUUUCGAUUAUGAUUUAUUAUGCUAGCUGAUAUAUAAUAAUUCCAAAAUUAGAAACAAAUAUGGUUUUCAAGUACUUCAAAUUAUUCGCGGUUUCUGUUAAGUAACUGAUUUUUGGGGUUUUUGAAGAAAACUUUUUUCACGCUGCGCUCUUCUCUGAAGGAGGAGAGGCGGCUUUGAGACCAAAGAAGAGAAUGAGGGGUUGAAGGGGUAUUUAAAGAGAUGGAUGGCUUCGAAGUCGGCGCUUAAUGGGGUUGUUUGGCUACACAGUUAUGAGCUGGACAUCUUCCUCUCGUUUGGUCCAUCUAUUAAAAAAUCUUCUUAAUCUAUUUUUAAACAUAAUUUCAUCAACUAUUAUCCUUAUAAUUUUCAUUUUUUGUAAGACUCAUUUUUCACUUAUCAAGUAUACAAUUAAUUUUUAUUAAAAUUCAUGUCACCCUCCUUUAUAAAGAUCUUUGAGAAAUGAAGGGAGUGUUAAUUCCAAAUAUUUGGUAAAAUAAGUACAUAAAUACUCAUUUCGUCCCAACUUUUAGUAUCAAUUUAAGAAUGACACGUGUUUUAAUAAAGUUGUUAAGUGUGUUGUGAGUGGAAUAAGGGUCUCGCAUUUUACGUGAAUGUUAAAAUAAUUAAAGUGGAGUAAGGGUCUCACCUACUUUUACUAAAAAUAAAAAUGAAUAUCAAAAUAUGGAACGGCCAAAAAAGGAAAUAUGAAUACUAAAAGUUGGGACGAAGAUAGUAGUUUACAAGCUCUACAAAUAAGUUUCUACAAUUUAUAAGCUUUUCAAACUACAAACUUUUUACCAUAAAUUACUUUUUCAUAAUUUUAUACUUCCUUCAUCCCAAUUCNCUUAUAAUUUUUCAUUUUUUUGUAAGACUCAUUUUUUCACUUAUCAAGUAUACAAUUAAUUUUUAUUAAAAUUCAUGUCACCCUCCUUUAUAAAGAUCUUUGAGAAAUGAAGGGAGUGUUAAUUCCAAAUAUUUGGUAAAAUAAGUACAUAAAUACUCAUUUCGUCCCAACUUUUAGUAUCAAUUUAAGAAUGACACGUGUUUUAAUAAAGUUGUUAAGUGUGUUGUGAGUGGAAUAAGGGUCUCGCAUUUUACGUGAAUGUUAAAAUAAUUAAAGUGGAGUAAGGGUCUCACCUACUUUUACUAAAAAUAAAAAUGAAUAUCAAAAUAUGGAACGGCCAAAAAAGGAAAUAUGAAUACUAAAAGUUGGGACGAAGAUAGUAGUUUACAAGCUCUACAAAUAAGUUUCUACAAUUUAUAAGCUUUUCAAACUACAAACUUUUUACCAUAAAUUACUUUUUCAUAAUUUUAUACUUCCUUCAUCCCAAUUCAAUAGGCCACAAGACAAGGCUUGGACAUGGAUAUUAAGAAGCGAAUAGUUUAUAAUAAAAUACGAGAGAGAAAGUAGCUUUUUUUAGAGUAAAUUUGUGAAAAAAGUAGGAGAGAGUAGAGAUAAUUUUGUGGGAUCACAAUGAUAUUUGAUGUACAUAAUGAGUUGUGCGAAGGUGUUUGUUAUAUACUAUGAUUUUUUAUUUUAGGAAGUGACCUAUUGAAUUGGAACGUCCAAAUAAGGAUUCAUGACAUAUUUAAAUGGAACUGAGGGAGUAAUAUAUUUUACAAAAAUUAUUCAAUUAUACUUUAUUACUAUUUUCAUCAUAUACACUUUAAACCACUUUGCAAAAAUUAACUCAAUCAUAUAAAUACUUUCACAACUUAUAAGCUCUUACAAAAAUACAUUUUUAAAAUUUUUGAAACAUUUUAUAAAUUGCUACAAUUAUAAAUUUCUUAAAAUAAGCUUAUCCAAACAUCCCCUUAAUUCUACAACAAAAUUUUAACAAAUGGAGUAUAAAUGAGCUAUGAUUGGUAACAUAUUUUUCCUACAAAAAUAAUAAGCGAUAGGUAACAUAACUAGCGUGGGAACUAAGAAUCAAUCUGGUCUAUUAAUUUGAUUAAAUGAUCAUGAUUGAUUUCCAUAUUGAACAAUACAUAUAUAUGAUAAUGCAUCAGUUUAUGCCAGAAAUUAUGCCAUGCUGAUAAAUAAUACUCCAUUCGUCCCAAACGAAAUGUCCUAUUUCUUUUCGGUACGGAAAUUAAGAAAUGUGUAUAAAAUAGAUUAAGUGGGUUGGUGAAAAUUAUUUAAAUAUUAAGUAUAGAGAGAGAGUGUAGUGCCAAAAAAGGAAACAUGACAUUUCGUUUGAGAUAGCCCAAAAAGGAAAACAGUACAUUUCGUUUGGAACGGAGGGAGUAUAGUGCAUACUUAUAAUAAACAACGUAGUUUUAAGUGUGGUGCCCACUUCGGGGGAGCUUGUUGGAUUUAUAAUAAACGACGUAGUUUUCAUAUAUACAAAAAAUCCUCUUCCAUUGAGAUGGUUUCUUACAUUCUUGGCUUCAGCUGCGCAUGGCUUAUCUAUGCAUGCAUUAUUUUAGUUAUAAGCAAUUUAGUAAAUAAAAUAACAAAAUGGAUGGAUUAACAUUGCCACAAAACAUGAUGACACUAUUAGUAUUUUACUUCAAAGGGGAAGAAAAAAAAACUUUAUACGAAUGAAAGAAUGCCAUGUUAAACAAUCUCUCUUAGCCAAAUUGGAAAGCUAUGAGACCAAACAAAUGGACUACAAAUUAAAAAAGAGGUUAUAAAGUGACACGGGACUUAUACGCCACGUGCGGAGUUCAGCUGCCCGACUGCCGGAGUUCAGCUGCCCGACUGCCGGCCUGGUAUGAAAAUGAUUGGGUUAGGGUAGGGUGUCCCAUGCAACAAAUCCUCAUUCCACCUUCCCUUUGUCAGUUUCAUUUACCACACUAAGCCAUGUAAACAAUACCAACACAAUCACAAAAUCAGCAAAUCUAUUCGAACUCGCUUGGCCUAUGGUGAAAGCAGGAUGGAAAAGAAAGCAAAAUAAGCAAAGGUAAAUAUACCUGCUUGGACUGGAAGGAGAAAAAGAUGGUGAUGUUGGGCUGCAAAACCACAGAAAAUAAUAUGUCAAGGUAGCAUUUGAAAGAGAGUUUCACCAGUUCAGAAUAUAUCCUAGUCUUGUCGGGGAAAUAAAACAAAAAGAGUAAUACUCUAGGGAACAAUUUAUCCAGCUUCCUCUGUGGACAAUCAAGUAUAGAAACAGAGUAAUACAUUUAACCAAGGUUAUAUUUGUUAGCAAACUUGAAGAGCAAAAAUUAAAAUAAGGCUUGCCAAAAGUUACCUGAGACUCGGAGAAUAUGGACUGUACGGACUUGAAGGUGUGAUUUUUGGACUUGUAGGUGAAUAUGCUUGUGAAGGGCUAUACCUUGCUGAAGGAUUGUAACUUGGUGAGGUCAGACUGUAAGUCGGUGAGGUGGGACUGUAUCCAGGUGAAGUUGGGCUGUAGGCAGGAGAGGUAGGGCUGUAUGAAGGUGAGGUUGGGCUGUACGAUGGAGAGGUUGGGCUGUAAGAUGGUGAGGUUGGGCUGUAAGAGGGAGACGUGGGGCUGUAAGCCGGAGAAGUUGGGUUAUAAGCAGGUGAGGUUGGGCUGUAAGAGGGAGACGUGGGGCUGUAAGCCGGAGAAGUUGGGCUAUACGCAGGUGAGGUUGGGCUGUAUGCUGGAGAAGUUGGGCUGUAGCUCGGAGAUGUAGGGCUGUAGCUCGGAGAUGUGGGGCUAUAGCUAGGAGAUGUUGGGCUGUAGGAAGGAGACGUUGGUGAAUAAGAUGGGCUUGUGGGAGAAUAGGCAGGGCUUGUAGGACUAUAUCCAGGAGAACUAGGACUAUAUGUUGGGGACGUAGGGCUGUAACCAGGGGAAGUAGGACUGUACCCAGGUGAGGUGGGGCUGUAUCCAGGAGAUGACGGGCUGUACCCUGGAGACGAUGUAGGAGAAAACGCCAUCCCGCCCACAUACGGAGAAAACUGAGCAUCUGAAACAGGAGAUAACCGAAGAUUUGGGCUCAGCAUAUAAUUUGGUGACAUCAUGCCAUCAUGAUAUGGGGUCCCUGAGAUGGGUGAACGGCCAGGAGUCAUGCCAAACUCCAGUCCACCUUCCAUAUAACUGGGCAGAGGGAUCUCCAUAGCUUGUUUUAGCAUCUCUUCAUUCAUAUACAAAGCACAAUCACCUGUGCCAAUAGGUGCAAGCUGUCCUAACAUGAUAUUCUCAGUGACACCCCUGAGGUAAUCUGUUUCUGCAUACACAGCAGCAUCAAGAAGAAUGUCCACUGUUUCUUCAAAGGAGCAUCUCAUCAUGGGGCCAGUAUCAUUGCGAUUGAUACCAUGACGGGUGAUGGCCAUCAAGUGACCACGAUAUGUCAUGGUAUCACACAAUAUAGCCAAAUGUCUAUAGUUCACGUAAGACCCAUCAAAGAUAUACAACACGCAACUCAUCAGCAAGGCUUUGCGAACUGCCUCAAUGCCAAGAACUUCAAUAACUUCAAUCAAUGAUUGCUUGUUGUCCUACUUGCAUCUACAUCUUCAUGGCAAAUUACAGCUAAAAGAUUAACACCUUCUGUGUCAGCAUCCACUCAUUCUCAGCCUUGAAGCCUUCAUUUUCAUCAAACUUAUUUACCUUGCCAUUCUUUAUGAACACCUUAUUGAUAUCUGGUAUGCCUCGAAGAGCCAUUUCUGUAAGCAUGUUACCCUCAAUCUUUUUGAGGAAGACAUCAUCCUCAGCGAUUCAUCAUCACUCCUUAGGGUCUUCUCAUUCUAAUACGAAUACGAAGGAUAAGCUUUUCAGCAUUAUCAUCAUUAAAUGCAAGAUACAUCAAAUCAAUUAAUCUUAUGGAAAAUAUCAGCCAUGUUGAGUUUCUUAUCCACCAUCAUUUCUCUGUUUAACUCUAUGCGAAGCAACCACGGAGAGAUCUGUCGGGGUCAACAUCUCAUCUGGCAUCUCAAAGUAGGACGUCACAAUUCAAUAUCUUCCUCAAUAAUAGUGCUCUUAAGAUCUGGAUCGUACCAUACCUCUGUUGCUUGUGUUACACUCCGCAAGGUUGUAUACUCCAGAGCGCACUGGACAUUUUUGGCAUUCUCCUUAGUUUUUCUUACACCAGGCUUCAAGUAUACCGAGAGAGAGGGUGUUUUAAUAUUCUUAGCAACAUUAAUAAUCUCCCUCAACCUUGGAACACCUAAAGUAACAUUCUUGGCACUCACACCAGCAUAGUGAAAUGUAUUGAG